AUUGAACGCUAGCGGCAUGCCUUACACAUGCAAGUCGAACGGUAACAGGUCUUCGGAUGCUGACGAGUGGCGAACGGGUGAGUAAUACAUCGGAACGUGCCCGAUCGUGGGGGAUAACGAAGCGAAAGCUUUGCUAAUACCGCAUAAGAUCUACGGAUGAAAGCAGGGGACCGCAAGGCCUUGCGCGAACGGAGCGGCCGAUGGCAGAUUAGGUAGUUGGUGGGAUAAAAGCUUACCAAGCCGACGAUCUGUAGCUGGUCUGAGAGGAUGAUCAGCCACACUGGGACUGAGACACGGCCCAGACUCCUACGGGAGGCAGCAGUGGGGAAUUUUGGACAAUGGGGGAAACCCUGAUCCAGCCAUGCCGCGUGAGUGAAGAGGGCCUUCGGGUUGUAAAGCUCUUUCGGCCGGGACGAAAUCGCACGCGUGAAUAUCGCGUGUGGAUGACGGUACCGGAAGAAGAAGGACCGGCUAACUACGUGCCAGCCGCCGCGGUAA
rnacentral:rRNA from 1 species